rnacentral:rRNA from 2 species
UGCAUAUCAAAAGCGGAGGAAAAGAAACCAACAGGGAUUGCCUCAGUAGCGGCGAGUGAAGCGGCAAUAGCUCAAAUUUGAAAUCUGGCACCUUUGGUGUCCGAGUUGUAAUUUGAAGAAGGUAUCUUUGGGUUUGGCGCUUGUCUAUGUUUCUUGGAACAGGACGUCAUAGAGGGUGAGAAUCCCGUGUGAUGAGCUGCCCAAAUCCGUGUAAAGUUCCUUCGACGAGUCGAGUUGUUUGGGAAUGCAGCUCUAAGUGGGUGGUAAAUUCCAUCUAAAGCUAAAUAUUGGCGAGAGACCGAUAGCGAACAAGUACUGUGAAGGAAAGAUGAAAAGAACUUUGAAAAGAGAGUGAAAAAGUACGUGAAAUUGUUGAAAGGGAAGGGCUUGAGGUCAGACUUGGUUUUACCAGGCCAGCAUCAGUUUGGGUGGUAGGAGAAUGGCGAAGGAAUGUGGCUCGGCUUCGGUCAAGUGUUAUAGCCUUUGUUGAUACUGCCUACCUAGACUGAGGACUGCGUCUUUUGACAAGGAUGCUGGCAUAAUGGCCUUAAGCCACCCGUCUUGAACCACGG